rnacentral:rRNA from 1 species
GACGAACGCUGGCGGCGUGCCUAACACAUGCAAGUCGAACGGGACCCGCAAGGGUUCAGUGGCGGACGGGUGCGUAACACGUGAAGAACAUGUCUUUCGGUGGGGGAUAGCCGGCCCAACGGCCGGGUAAUACCGCAUACGCUGCUCGGGGCUCCUGCCCUGAGUCGGAAAGCAGCAAUGCGCCGAUUGAGUGCUUCGCGGCCUAUCAGCUAGUUGGUGAGGUAAUGGCUCACCAAGGCGACGGCGGGUAGCUGGUCUGAGAGGAUGGCCAGCCACAUUGGGACUGAGACACGGCCCAGACUCCUACGGGAGGCAGCAGUGGGGAAUAUUGCGCAAUGGGCGAAAGCCUGACGCAGCGACGCCGCGUGUGGGAUGAAGGGCCUUCGGGUUGUAAACCACUGUCGCGAGGCACGAAUC